rnacentral:rRNA from 1 species
UGAAGCUGGAAUUGCUAGUAAUCACAGGUCAGCAUACUGUGGUGAAUACGUUCCCGGGCCUUGUACACACCGCCCGUCACACCAUGAGAGUUGAGAAUACCCGAAGCCCAUGUCAAAGUGGUCGAAGGUAGGCUUGAUGAUUGGGUGAAGUCGUAACAAGGUAAC